GGGCUUGACAUCCCACGAACCUGCCGAAAGGCAGGAGUGCCUGCAAGGGAGCGCGGAGACAGGUGGUGCAUGGCUGUCGUCAGCUCGUGUCGUGAGAUGUUGGGUUAAGUCCCGCAACGAGCGCAACCCUCACCUCUUGUUGCCAUCAGGUCAUGCUGGGCACUCUAGAGGAACUGCCCCGGUCAACGGGGAGGAAGGCGGGGAUGACGUCAAGUCAUCAUGCCCCUUACGUCCUGGGCUACACACGUGCUACAAUGGCCGGUACAAAGGGAUGCCACACCGCGAGGUAGAGCUAAACCCAAAAAGCCGGUCUAAGUUCGGAUUGGAGUCUGCAACUCGACUCCAUGAAGGAGGAAUCGCUAGUAACCGCGUAUCAGCACGACGCGGUGAAUACGUUCCCGGGCCUUGUACACACCGCCCGUCACACCACGAAAGCCAGCUGUACUCGAAGUCGCUAGAAUCGUCGACUGAAGAGUCAGUCCC
rnacentral:rRNA from 1 species